rnacentral:rRNA from 1 species
CCUACGGGUGGCAGCAGUGAGGAAUAUUGGUCAAUGGACGAGAGUCUGAACCAGCCAAGUAGCGUGAAGGAUGACUGCCCUAUGGGUUGUAAACUUCUUUUAUAUGGGAAUAAAACGUUCCACGUGUGGGAUUUUGUAUGUACCAUAUGAAUAAGGAUCGGCUAACUCCGUGCCAGCAGCCGCGGUAAUACGGAGGAUCCGAGCGUUAUCCGGAUUUAUUGGGUGUAAAGGGAGCGUAGGUGGAUUGUUAAGUCAGUUGUGAAAGUUUGCGGCUCAACCGUAAAAUUGCAGUUGAAACUGACAGUCUUGAGUACAGUAGAGGUGGGCGGAAUUCGUGGUGUAGCGGUGAAAUGCUUAGAUAUCACGAAGAACUCCGAUUGCGAAGGCAGUUCACUGGACUGCAACUGACACUGAGGCUCGAAAGUGUGGGUAUCAAACAGGAUUAGAUACCCCAGUAGUC